rnacentral:snRNA from 1 species
GUGCUCGCUUCAGCAGCACAUAUACUAAAAUUGGAACAAUACAGAGAAGAUUAGCACGGUCUCUGCGCAAGGAUAACAUGUAAAUUCGUGGAGUGUUCUAGAUUAAA